rnacentral:rRNA from 1 species
UACGUAGGUGGCAAGCGUUGUCCCGGAUUUAUUGGGUUUUAAAAGGGUGCGUAGGCGGCUUUGUAAGUCAGUGGUGAAAUAUGGCAGCUCAACUGUCAGGGUGCCAUUGAUACUGCGGAGCUUGAGUACAGAUGAGGUAGGCGGAAUUGACGGUGUAGCGGUGAAAUGCUUAGAUAUCGUCAAGAACACCGAUAGCGAAGGCAGCUUACUAGGCUGUAACUGACGCCUCAUGCACGAAAGCGUGGGGAGCAAACAGG